rnacentral:rRNA from 1 species
CAGCCGCCGCGGUAAUACCGGCGGCCCGAGUGGCGGUCACUAUUAUUGGGCUUAAAGCGUCCGUAGCCGGGUUGGGAAGUCCUCCGGGAAAUCUGGCCGCUUAACGGUCAGAAUGCCGGAGGAUACUCCCAGCCUAGGGAGCGGGGGAGGCCGAGGGGAUUCCCGGAGUAGGGGUGAAAUCCUAUAAUCCCGGGAGGACCACCUGUGGCGAAGGCGCUCGGCUGGAACGCGUCCGACGGUGAGGGACGAAGGCCAGGGGAGCAAACCGGAUUAGAUACCCGGGUAGUCCUGGCUGUAAACGAUGCGGACUUUGUGUCGGACAAGCUAUGAGCUGGUCCGGUGCCGGAGGGAAACCGUUAAGUCCGCCGCCUGGGGAGUACGGCCGCAAGGCUGAAACUUAAAGGAAUUGGCGGG